AUUGAACGCUGGCGGCAUGCCUUACACAUGCAAGUCGAACGGUAACAGGUCUUCGGAUGCUGACGAGUGGCGAACGGGUGAGUAAUGCAUCGGAACGUGCCCAGUAGUGGGGGAUAGCCCGGCGAAAGCCGGAUUAAUACCGCAUACGACCUGAGGGUGACAGGGGGGGAUCGCAGGACCUCGCGCUAUUGGAGCGGCCGAUGUCAGAUUAGCUAGUUGGUGGGGUAAAGGCCUACCAAGGCAACGAUCUGUAGUUGGUCUGAGAGGACGACCAGCCACACUGGGACUGAGACACGGCCCAGACUCCUACGGGAGGCAGCAGUGGGGAAUUUUGGACAAUGGGCGCAAGCCUGAUCCAGCAAUGCCGCGUGCAGGAAGAAGGCCUUCUGGUUGUAAACUGCUUUUGUCAGGGAAGAAAUCUUCUGGGUUAAUACCUCGGGAGGAUGACGGUACCUGAAGAAUAAGCACCGGCUAACUACGUGCCAGCCGCCGCGGUAAAAC
rnacentral:rRNA from 1 species